rnacentral:rRNA from 1 species
UACGUAGGGGUGCGAGCGUUGUCCGGAAUUACUGGGCGUAAAGAGCUCGUAGGUGGUUUGUCGCGUUGUCCGUGAAAACUCACAACUCAAUUGUGGGCGUGCGGGCGAUACGGGCAGACUGGAGUACUGCAGGGGAGACUGGAAUUCCUGGUGUAGCGGUGGAAUGCGCAGAUAUCAGGAGGAACACCGGUGGCGAAGGCGGGUCUCUGGGCAGUAACUGACGCUGAGGAGCGAAAGCGUGGGGAGCGAACAGG